GCAGGCUGCAACUCGCCUGCAUGAAGUCGGAAUUGCUGUAAUCGCAGAUCAGCAUGCUGCGGUGAAUACGUUCCCGGGCCUUGUACACACCGCCCGUCACACCAUGAGAGUCGGGAACACCCGAAGUCCGUAGUCUAACCGCAAGGGGGCGCGGCCGAAGGUGGGUUCGAUAAUUGGGGUGAAGUCGUAACAAGGUAAC
rnacentral:rRNA from 1 species